AUGGCCUGGGCUCCUCUCCUCCUCACUCUCUUCGCUCAUUGCACAGGUGGACGCCUGCAGGGAAUUCUGGGAGGGCUCCUGUUUGUCACCUGGGAGGAUGACCUCUCCCCCGUCCCUGGGAAUGGGAUCUGUCCUGUCCUCACUGGGUCUUGGGCAGAGGUUGUGUUGACUCAGCCCCGCUCUGUGUUGGGGUCUCUGGAGCAGAAGGUCACUAUCUCCUGCACUCGCAGCAGCGGUAACUUUGGGAGUUACUAUGUGCACUGGUACCAGCAGCGCCCGGGCAGUGCCCUCACCACCGUAAUCUACAAGGAUGACCAAAGACCCUCCGGGGUUCCCAAUCGUUUCUCUGGCUCCAUUGACACCUCCUCCAGUGCUGCCUACCUGACCAUCUCUGGGCUGCAGCCUGAGGAAGAGGCCAACUACUACUGUCAGUCCGGUUAUGACAGCAACAAGGACACAGUGCUCCAGACCCAUGGAGAAGUGAGAUCAAAAUUCCCCAGAGCCUCCCUGUCCAGGGUCUGCCUUUGA